UGACGCUGGCGGCAUGCUUUACACAUGCAAGUCCGAACUGGUAACAGCACUUCCGGUGGCUGACGAGUGGCUGAACGGGUGAGUAAUACAUCGGAACGUGCCUAGUAGUGGGGGAUAACUACUCGAAAGAGUAGCUAAUACCGCAUGAGAUCUACGGAUGAAAGCAGGGGACCUUCGGGCCUUGUGCUACUAGAGCGGCUGAUGGCAGAUUAGGUAGUUGGUGGGGUAAAGGCUCACCAAGCCAACGAUCUGUAGCUUGGUCUGAGAGGACGACCAGCCACACUGUAACUGAGACACGGUCCAGACUCCUACGGGAGGCAACAGUGGGGAAUUUUGGACAAUGGGCGCAAGCCUGAUCCACCAAUGCCGCGUGCAGGAUGAAAGGCCUUCGGGUUGUAAACUGCUUUNGUACAGAACAAAAAGUCCUUGGGUUAUACCUGGGACCAUGACGNUCUGUAAAAUAACACCGCUAAUACGUCCACAACCCGGAAACGUUGGUCAGCGUAUUGGAUACUGGCCUAACGGCCCGCCGUUUUAAAAAAGGUAAACCCGCUCCGGACGCUUGGCUUACUUUUGAAGGAGAUCGU
rnacentral:rRNA from 1 species